rnacentral:misc_RNA from 1 species
GGACCUCCCGUCCUUGGACGGUCGAGCGAAAGCUUGUGAUUGGUCCG